rnacentral:rRNA from 1 species
GACGAACGCUGGCGGCGCGCCUAACACAUGCGAGUCGAACGAGAAAGAGGGAGCUGGCUUCCUCAACCGAGGGGGGAACGGACGAGGGACGCGUGAAGACUCUGCCUCGAAGAGCGGGACUUCCGGAGGAGGCCACUGCUAAUACCGCACUGCCCCGACGGUCGGACUCGACCAGAGGGAAUGGGAGAUAUGCGUUUUGAUGAGCCCUCGCAUCCGAUCACCUAGCUGGUGAGGUAAUGGCCCACCAAGGCAACGAUCAGUAGCCGGACUGAGAGGUUGACCGGCCACAUUGGGACUGAGACACGGCCCAGACUCUUAUGGGAGGCAGCAGUGGGGAAUAUUGCACAAUGGGGGAAACCCUGAUGCAGCGACGCCGCGUGGAGGAAGAAGGUCUUCGGAUUGUAAACUCUUGUUUUUGAGGAAGAUAAUGGCGGUUCUCAGCAAAGAAGUGCCGGCUAAAUUCGUUCCCGCAACCGCGGUAAAUCGUAGGUCGCCAGCGUUGUUCGGAAUUUCUGGGUGUAAAGGGAGCGCAGCCGGGAAGACAAGUCGGAAGUGAAAUCUAUGGGCUCAACUCAUAAACUGCUUUCAAAACUGUUUUUCUUGAGUAUUGCAGAGGCAGUCGGAAUUCCCGGUGUAGCGGUGGAAUGCGUAGAUAUUGGGAGGAACACCAGUGGCGAAGGCGGCCUGCUGGGCACCAACUGACGGUGAGGCUCGAAAGUGUGGGUAGCAAA